UAAUGACUCUCGGCAACGGAUAUCUCGGCUCUCGCAUCGAUGAAGAACGUAGCGAAAUGCGAUACUUGGUGUGAAUUGCAGAAUCCCGUGAACCAUCGAGUCUUUGAACGCAAGUUGCGCCCGAGGCCAUUAGGCCGMGGGCACGKCUGCCUGGGCGUCACG
rnacentral:rRNA from 1 species